CACGUAGGGUGCGAGCGUUGUCCGGAAUUAUUGGGCGUAAAGAGCUCGUAGGCGGUGUGUCGCGUCGGCCGUGAAAACCUGCAGCUUAACUGUGGGCUUGCGGUCGAUACGGGCAUCACUGGAGUUCGGCAGGGGAGACUGGAAUUCCUGGUGUAGCGGUGAAAUGCGCAGAUAUCAGGAGGAACACCGGUGGGCGAAGGCGGG
rnacentral:rRNA from 1 species